GAUGAACGCUGGCGGCGUGCCUAAUACAUGCAAGUCGAGCGAACAGACGAGGAGCUUGCUCCUUUGACGUUAGCGGCGGACGGGUGAGUAACACGUGGAUAACCUACCUAUAAGACUGGGAUAACUUCGGGAAACCGGAGCUAAUACCGGAUAACAUGUUGAACCGCAUGGUUCAACAGUGAAAGACGGUCUUGCUGUCACUUAUAGAUGGAUCCGCGCCGCAUUAGCUAGUUGGUAAGGUGACGGCUUACCAAGGCAACGAUGCGUAGCCGACCUGAGAGGGUGAUCGGCCACACUGGAACUGAGACACGGUCCAGACUCCUACGGGAGGCAGCAGUAGGGAAUCUUCCGCAAUGGGCGAAAGCCUGACGGAGCAACGCCGCGUGAGUGAAGAAGGUCUUCGGAUCGUAAAACUCUGUUAUUAGGGAAGAACAAAUUUGUAAGUAACUAUGCACGUCUUGACGGUACCUAAUCAGAAAGCCACGGCUAACUACGUG
rnacentral:rRNA from 1 species